UAGAAGUCAGGUCGGAUUAAGCCAUAGUACGGAAAAAACUAUGCUACCUGUGAGCCCCGUCCAAGGACGUUAAAAGAAGUCAGGCCACUACAAGUGCCAUAGCUUGAGCAAACUAUGCAGCCUGCAGCUCCACCUGGGAAGGUGUAAAAGAUCUGGGAGGCCACAAACCAUGGAAGCUGUACGCAUGGCGUAGUGGACUAGCGGUUAGAGGAGACCCCUCCCUUACAAAUCGCAGCAACAAUGGGGGCCCAAGGCGAGAUGAAGCUGUAGUCUCGCUGGAAGGACUAGAGGUUAGAGGAGACCCCCCCGAAA
rnacentral:lncRNA from 1 species